CUCGGCUUGGCAGGGACAAUGGGGGGGAGGGAAGGGGGGAGAUAAGGGGCUGGCUGAGGGACCGUGGCGGGGAGCAGAGCCCUCUGGGGUGUCUGGGCCCCCCACACGCCCUGUGUGCUGGGCCUGGUCCCUGCCCCACUUCCCGCUGGGCCUGCAUGGCUAACACGCCCUCCCCCUCGUAGGGCGACAGGGGCUUCGAGGGGCUGCCGGGGCUGCCGGGCGAGAAGGGUCUCAAGGUAAGUGUGAGCCCCCCCCCGGCCCCCUGGGGCAGGUGUGAGCCCCCUGCCCCAGUCCCACAAGCUUCACCUCUCACUCUCUCUCCUGCAGGGGGACGUGGGGAAGCCGGGGCCCCCGGGCCCCCCAGGAGAGAAUGGAGCCAAGGUAAGGGCCCCAGGUGGGGAAGGGGGCGCGGGUGCUACGGGACCAGUGAGGCCCCCCCCUCAGUUCUGCUCUCUCUCUCUCCUAGGGCUUGGGCGGCCUGCCAGGACCCAGGGGGCAGCCUGGGGAACCCGGUGUGCGCGGCUUGGUCGGCUCCCGUGGCCCCCCUGGCCCCCCAGGACAGCCGGGCGUGAGUGGCAUGGACGGCGCGCCUGGGCCCAAGGGCAACGUGGGAAUCCAGGGGGAGCCGGGCCCCCCCGGCCAGCAGGGGACCCCAGGACCCCAGGGCCUGCAUGGCCCCCAAGGGCCCGUCGGGAUGCCGGGAGGGAAGGGCCCGCCUGGGAAGCGGGGCAUGCAGGGCGUGGCUGGUGCCGAUGGCCCCCCCGGUCACCCGGGCAGAGAGGGGCCGGCGGGGGAGAAAGGGCUCCAGGGCACAGCUGGCGCCGUGGGACCCGUUGGUUACCCAGGCCCCCGUGGGGUCAAGGUGGGUACGGCCAGGCCCCAGUGAAGGGACCCUCCCUCCCCU
rnacentral:lncRNA from 1 species